AUAAAAAUCUCCUCUACAGAUGUUCCAUCUAAAGAGAGGAGAUGCACAACAUGCUGGUUUGGAGUUUAGCUUGUUUUUAGUCCUAAACCGUUUCUUACUAGCCUAAAAACACCAACUGUUCAGUGUGUGGAGGUCUUUCAGGUGGUGCGGGACAUGCUGUGGUAACCAUGUUGGAGGUCCUAUACUUUAUACAGCUGUGAAGUCGAAUCAUAGAUGUAAACAACCAAAGCUGAUCUACAGAGUGCCGCUAACGUCUUAUUCAUCUUUGUCCUGAAAUUGUCUCCAGUUCAGAGACUGCUCAGAAAAAAUGAACAAAAGUAAAGUCAAAUUAUUAUUAACACCCACUUCUAUUUGAGCUUUGAUAUAUUAUCACUUAGAAAAGUGAUUCUGCUGGUAGUUCUGUAGUAACUCAUACUUACAGGAGGGUAUUUUACAAAAAUUCAAACCUGACGUUACUGCACGACCGUCUCAGUUCGUCCUCGUGAACUCUAUCCUGCGAGUUCCCCCCAUGAAACUAGAAGUGGACUCGCUCUGUAGAAAUGCCGUGAACGAAGGCCAAACUUUAAAGAUGACAUAAAAAAAAAAUACCAACAGCUUUGUAAAAACAGCACUGUGACCCUCAGCUGCCUGUGGACCUCCACGGUGGUACCACAUGAGGCCGAUGUGACCCACCAGGAGAUCCUCUUAGCUGCACACAAUCAGACCCUGCUGCAUACUAAUAUUAAUAUAAGUCCAGGAAUUAUGUAUAAUUUAACUGUAAUAGCUUGUUAAUACAUGUCAGAUUUUAGCUGUCAGCAAGCUGAAAUACAUUAAAACUCCCAUUUCUACCAAACAGUACUGCUAUUAUGUAGUCACCACACAAUUAUUACGUGCAUUAAGUAUUUAUUAAUUUAAAUAUUCCCAUCUUUUUCAUUUGACCUGUUGAGCAUAUAAAACCUAUUAACGAGACUAUAUUUAAUAUGCAUGUCGUCUUUCUUUUGCUUUGUUUAGCUGAGCAUAAUGAUCUAUUAGUCUGCUUCUCUCCUCUGUUGAUCCAACUCUUCUGGACCAGAAUGCAUUUUAGAUUCCUGCAGGACGCAGAAACGUUUCAUGCUGUAUGUGACGGUUGUUGAACGCCCCGUACGAUGACCGAAGCCGGCUUCGUUUUUUUUAAAUCCACGCUCAUUCUCCUGUGCAGGUUUACAAAUCCAGUCGUGUGUGGCUGACGCGAUAACAAGCGUAUGAAGCUGAGUGUUUGAGCUGUGAAGACUCUGUAAAUGUGUUUGUCAUCAAUGAUCCGAGUGAGGCCGACACACACUGAGGAUCAGAGCAGCGUUAGAAUUCCCGUCUGUCAAUGCUGGAAAAUGAUUCAUUUAAAUGUCUCAAAAAUUCAGAGCGCACCGGGUUAGAAAAACCAAGUUAGUUGAAAAGCCAGCGAUCCGGUCCUCAGUGUGUUUAGACGCCACUCUUGUCCCCGAGCUGUAAACACAGCAGCUGUCGGUGUGUCCGUUUAACCCUUUAAACUUUAGCCUUUCAUUUUCAGACGAGUUGCCAAAUGUCUUAUACGCUUAAAGAAGCUCUGGGUUUGAUUUCUUUGUAUAAUACUCCUACUUCAGGUGCUCUCGUAUAAUUAUGAGGUUUCCCUCGUGCAUUUCCUCAACAGAUAUUGACGCAGCCACUUUAUUUUAUGGAAAGUAUCAGAAUUCUUAUUUUGGCUAUUAGAUUAAUUAUCAUCAUAGUCUCGGGUGCUCGUUUUACAAAAACUGCAUUUUUAGUCAGUUAUCAUAACAAUAACAAAAAAAACCUAUUAAAAAUAUUUCAAAUGUCUUUCUUGUAAAUUUGAAGUACUAUAAUUUCCCUUAUUCUCGGUCAUGUAUACACGUACUGUGGUGGAUUCUCAUUUUAAACGUGGCCACAGAUUCAGAUAUGAAGUCAGUGUUUGUUCAAGUUUGUUUCUUAUGCUCUCAGAUUUGUCAGUCACACAGAGAGAGAUCCAUCGCCACGUUUAAGCCCCACCCACCUGCCGUUGAGCCUUCUGUUUGCCAGAGCCAUCCAAUCAGCAGAAAGCUGGCUUAAAGGGAUCUUAAAGAGGGAGGAGCCAGAAUGAAAAAUACAUUUGAUAAAUCACAGAUUGAUUGAGGCCUAAACUUUGGGACAGCAGUCCCUUACUUCCCCAGUUUGCUCUUACGAUGGUAAAUAAAAGGUGGACUUUAAGGCAAACAGCAGCUCUUAUUAAAAACCUUUAAAUUAGAUUGACAAAAACAACAGCGUACAGUGUGUCAGUUAAAAAGUCUGCUCCAGGUUUGAUUUAUACUCAUACAAGUUAUAAAUUUAUCUGCUAAUGGGACGGGCGUCUUUAUAGUGAAAUGUCAAAAACGAAAUCUGUUAAAAAUUCAGGAAUGAGGUUCAGAUUAACAGUUUUACUAACAUCACUCACUACAAUAAUCACUUUUUUUUUUAAGCUGAUAUACAAGUGAGGUUGAAUUUUUAUUGAUUUUAAUAAAAGUAAUGGCACAUGAAUGUAACUUCUUACUGACACAUUUCCCACUGGCCUUGAACUCAGCAUAGCUCCUGUAAAAACAGCAAGGUUUUUUUUUCCAUCUAAUUUCAGCCGUUUUUUAAAAACGUGAGCAAACAUCUAACAGGUUUUAUUAAAAUCAUAAAUCUCCAGCAGGUACAGACCUUUCUAGCGCUGUGACGAACUCACUCCUGCCUGUGGUGCUAGAAGUAAAAAACCUUUUUUAUUUAAUUUUUUUUUACUACUUUUGUAAUUCUGUAAAUUCUGCUUCAUGUUCCUGAAUAUUAAUCAUCUUUUUCUAUGUAAACCGGUUUUUUGUUGGAUCUUGGCUGUAAAAUAAAACCGUAUGUUUGAUGUGCACCUGAUGACGAGGGAAACCUGCGCUUUGCUUUUAUCAUUUUUGCAUUUAAGACUUUGUUUCUAUUUAACUUCAU
ensembl:lncRNA